UACGUAGGGGCAAGCGUUGUCCGGAUUUAUUGGGCGUAAAGAGCGUGUAGGCGGCCAGGUAGGUCCGUUGUGAAAACUCGAGGCUCAACCUCGAGACGUCGGCGGAAACCCUCUGGCUAGAGUCCGGAAGAGGAGAGUGGAAUUCCUGGUGUAGCGGUGAAAUGCGCAGAUAUCAGGAGGAACACCGGUGGCGAAGGCGGCUACCUGGACAGAAACUGACGUGGAGGCAACGAAAAGCUAGGGGGAGCAAAACAGGG
rnacentral:rRNA from 1 species